rnacentral:rRNA from 1 species
CGGCGGACGGGUGAGUAACACGUGGGUAACCUGCCUGUAAGACUGGGAUAACUCCGGGAAACCGGAGCUAAUACCGGAUAGUUCCUUGAACCGCAUGGUUCAAGGAUGAAAGACGGUUUCGGCUGUCACUUACAGAUGGACCCGCGGCGCAUUAGCUAGUUGGUGAGGUAACGGCUCACCAAGGCGACGAUGCGUAGCCGACCUGAGAGGGUGAUCGGCCACACUGGGACUGAGACACGGCCCAGACUCCUACGGGAGGCAGCAGUAGGGAAUCUUCCGCAAUGGACGAAAGUCUGACGGAGCAACGCCGCGUGAGUGAUGAAGGUUUUCGGAUCGUAAAGCUCUGUUGUUAGGGAAGAACAAGUGCAAGAGUAACUGCUUGCACCUUGACGGUACCUAACCAGAAAGCCAC